UGGAGCGGUGGAAUGUGUAGAUAUGCUUAAGAACACCAGAGGCGAAGGCGGAAACUAGACCAUAAAUGACGCUUAGGCUUGAAAGUGUGGGGAGCAAAUGGGAUUAGAUACCCCAGUAGUCCACACCGUAAACGAUGGGUAUUAGAUAUUAGGGCUUUAGCUUUAGUGUUGUAGCUUACGCGUUAAAUACCCCGCCUGGGUAGUACAUAUGCAAAUAUGAAACUCAAAGGAAUUGACGGGGACCUGAACAAGUGGUGGAGCAUGUUGCUUAAUUCGAUAAUACACGAAAAACCUUACCAAGGUUUGACAUCCCUCGCAAAGCUAUAGAAAUAUAGUAGAGGUUAUCGAGGUGACAGGUGGUGCAUGGCUGUCGUCAGCUCGUGUCUUGAGAUGUUUGGUUAAGUCCCGCAACGAGCGCAACCCCACUCUUUAGUUACUUGUCUAAAGAGACUGCACAGUAAUGUAGAGGAAGGAUGGGAUCACGUCAAGUCAUCAUGCCCCUUAUGCCUUGGGCUGCAAACGUGCUACAAUGGCGAACACAAUGUGUGCAAACCAGCGAUGGUAAGCUAAUCAC
rnacentral:rRNA from 1 species